UGUGACAGCAGGGAAACCCGAGCCUUGAGGGGACAUUCUCAGGCUCAAAAAUCACAAACCCGACAGGGAAAGGCAUUUGAUCAGAAAAUGACACCAUUCAGAGCAAGGUCACGUCCGGUCCGGGUGUGCUCUGAGGGGUCCAGACCGUCGACAAGAGGGAAAGCCCUGGAUCAGCCCCUGCUCUUCCUCCUACAGACAACCUUUGCUCAGUCACUGUGGUAUUAAAGGUCAUCCAGGCAAGUUCUUUGAUCAUCCUGAACUUGCAAGUAAGAGUGUGGUAGUGACUUCUACAGAAGCAUUUGUAGGUAAGGUUUGAAGAGUCAAGAUGU